GUCUAUGCUGUAAACGAUGUGCACUUGGUGUUGGGCCUAUUAGGUUCAGUGCCGAAGCUAACGCGAUAAGUGCACCGCCUGGGGAGUAUGCUCGCAAGGGUGAAACUCAAAGGAAUUGACGGGGGCCCCGCACAAGCGGUGGAUUAUGUGGUUUAAUUCGAUGAUACGCGAGAAACCUUACCAGGGUUUGACAUGUGCAGGAAUGGUUUAGAGAUAGGCCAGCCCGCAAGGGUCUGUACACAGGUGCUGCAUGGCUGUCGU
rnacentral:rRNA from 1 species